rnacentral:lncRNA from 1 species
GAAAAACCUCAGACUGGUUGCACAACUACUAAAAAAGACACCAUUAAUCCAGAAUUUAAUGAAUCUUUCAAAGUUGCAAUUGACAGAAAAAACCAAAGUUUUGUAAGAUUAUGUAAACGCCAAUCAUUGGUUGUUAAAGUUAAUCAUGUCAGAGGUUUCCUAAAAGCAGACAAAGCAAUUGGACAAGGCUUCAUAAAAUUAGAGCGCUUCUCAAACAGAUGCGAAAUUCAUGAGUCUGUUG